UUACACACCAAAUUAUUCUUAUUUUUAGAAAAUGACAAUGAGACUGCAACAACCUCACACAGAGCACAGGAAAAGAAGUUUACAGGAUGGAUUCCCUCUUUUUUGGGAACUCUUCGAAAGAGAAUCAGAAAGGGGACAAAAGAGAUAAAAAAGACACCAAAGCAUUUGGAUGUCAAAAAUAGAACGUAUCAGAAGAUGCAAAAGGAGAUUACAAAGCUCAAAGGAGACCCAGAAAGAGACAACGAAAAUUAGAAGAGUUUUGCAUACAGCAGUUCUAGAACAUCCUAUUUUAAUAGGAAUAUUUAUUCAAAUUUGUUGUGAUUGUUAUUUAGUUUCCAAUAAAAUUUCGAUAUAUUUUCCCCACA